rnacentral:sRNA from 21 species
GCACUGGCAGAACGUUAAACCGCUUAAGUUCUUGAUAGUAGUUACCAUCAAAAGUGAUGUUAAAACUAUUAACGGUGC